AAGCAACUGCUGCCAUGAGCAAGAUCCCAGCCCACAAGGAAAGGUCUGCCCUAUAGAUCAUCCUGUACCAGAGAUCUACAGCAUAAUGGCCUGGAAGCAGUCUUUGUUUUGGAGCCAAGCCCAGCAAAGUCUCAAUUCCUUCCCCUUCAAUCGCCAUCUGGAUGAACAAGGCCAAGUCAUUGACCUUCUCUGGGCCUCAGUUUCCUCACCCAUAAACUGGAGCAAAGUCAUCUCCAAGACAGCAGGAACCAUGUUUACUCUUUAAUCAUUGUAUGCUCCCUAAAUAUUUGCUGAACAAGUGAACAAAAAACCUGGUGGUGGUGAAAUUAGACUCCUUCUUGGUGUCACCAGGAGGUCCAGUUGGAUAAUUUCAAGACAAGCCCAAAGUACAUUAGCAGAGGAAUGGGGAAGAAAUCCAUAAGGAAGCCAUGUAAG
rnacentral:lncRNA from 1 species